AAAAGAACAAAACACCAAGAGUGAAUUCACAAACAAAUCAGUAUAGAAAACAUAUUAUUAUUUUCUCUCAAUUUCAAUAUUUCUCUCUUUGUUCUGUGAGGACGUACACAACACACAGAAGAAGAUAUGGCGAAGGUUUCAAUCAUAUUUACCUUUGUAGUGGUCAUGCUCAGUCUAAUGGCUACCAAUAAUGGAUUUGGUGUUCUCUCAAUAAGGACAGAAACAAGUGAGAGAGAGUCAUCAAAAUCAAAGAUAUGCCACAAUGAUUAUGAGUGCUACCGUAUUCUACCUAGCUGCGGAGGACUUCCUCAUUGCAACGAGGGUCAAUGCAUGUGUAUAUACAAACAAUAAUAAUGUUUAAACAUACAAGACAUUAUUAUGAGCAAAUAAAAUGUUUAACCAUUGCAAAUGCUUAAUUA